CUAAGAAUAUUCCGCAAUGGGCGAAAGCCUGACGGAGCGACGCCGCGUGGAUGAUGAAGGCCGGAAGGUUGUAAAGUCCUUUUAUGACAGAGGAAUAACCGGGGCAGGGAAUGGCACCGGGGUGACUGUAGGUCAUGAAUAAGCACCGGCUAAUUACGUGCCAGCAGCCGCGGUAACACGUAAGGUGCGAGCGUUGUUCGGAAUUAUUGGGCGUAAAGGGUAUGUAGGCGGUUCUGCAAGUCUGGUGUGAAAUGCCGGGGCUCAACCCCGGAACUGCGUUGGAAACUGCAGGACUUGAAUCGCUGAGGGGCAGCCAGAAUUCCAGGUGUAG
rnacentral:rRNA from 1 species